rnacentral:rRNA from 1 species
ACGUGCCCGAUCGUGGGGGAUAACGCAGCGAAAGCUGUGCUAAUACCGCAUACGAUCUACGGAUGAAAGCGGGGGAUCGCAAGACCUCGCGCGGACGGAGCGGCCGAUGGCAGAUUAGGUAGUUGGUGGGGUAAAGGCCUACCAAGCCGACGAUCUGUAGCUGGUCUGAGAGGACGACCAGCCACACUGGGACUGAGACACGGCCCAGACUCCUACGGGAGGCAGCAGUGGGGAAUUUUGGACAAUGGGCGCAAGCCUGAUCCAGCCAUGCCGCGUGCAGGAUGAAGGCCUUCGGGUUGUAAACUGCUUUUGUACGGAACGAAAAGGUUUCUUUUAAUACAGGGAACUGAUGACGGUACCGUAAGAAUAAGCACCGGCUAACUACGUGCCAGCAGCCGCGGUAAUACGUAGGGUGCGAGCGUUAAUCGGAAUUACUGGGCGUAAAGCGUGCGCAGGCGGUGAUGUAAGACAGAGGUGAAAUCCCCGGGCUCAACCUGGGAACUGCCUUUGUGACUGCAUCGCUGGAGUGCGGCAGAGGGGGAUGGAAUUCCGCGUGUAGCAGUGAAAUGCGUAGAUAUGCGGAGGAACACCGAUGGCGAAGCAAUCCCCUGGGCCUGCAC